rnacentral:rRNA from 1 species
GACGAGCGCUGGCGGCGUGCUUAACACAUGCAAGUCGAACGGAAAGGCCCUGCUUUUGUGGGGUGCUCGAGUGGCGAACGGGUGAGUAACACGUGAGUAACCUGCCCUUGACUUUGGGAUAACUUCAGGAAACUGGGGCUAAUACCGGAUAGGAGCUCCUGCUGCAUGGUGGGGGUUGGAAAGUUUCGGCGGUUGGGGAUGGACUCGCGGCUUAUCAGCUUGUUGGUGGGGUAGUGGCUUACCAAGGCUUUGACGGGUAGCCGGCCUGAGAGGGUGACCGGCCACAUUGGGACUGAGAUACGGCCCAGACUCCUACGGGAGGCAGCAGUGGGGAAUAUUGCACAAUGGGCGGAAGCCUGAUGCAGCAACGCCGCGUGCGGGAUGACGGCCUUCGGGUUGUAAACCGCUUUCGCCUGUGGCGAAGCGUGAGUGACGGUAAUGGGUAAAGAAGCACCGGCUAACUACGUG